rnacentral:rRNA from 1 species
UACAGAGGUCCCAAGCGUUGUCCGGAAUUAUUGGGCGUAAAGAGCUCGUAGGCGGUCUGUUGCGUCCGCUGUGAAAACUCGGGGCUUAACCCCGAGCCUGCAGUGGAUACGGGCAGACUAGAGGUAGGUAGGGGAGAAUGGAAUUCCCGGUGUAGCGGUGAAAUGCGCAGAUAUCGGGAGGAACACUGGUGGCGAAGGCGGUUCUCUGGGCCUUACCUGACGCUGAGGAGCGAAAGCGUGGGGAGCGAACAGG